UACGAAGGGGGCUAGCGUUGUUCGGAAUUACUGGGCGUAAAGCGCGCGUAGGCGGCCUAUCAAGUCAGGGGUGAAAUCCCGGGGCUCAACCCCGGAACUGCCUUUGAAACUAAUAGGCUAGAAUCUUGGAGAGGCGAGUGGAAUUCCGAGUGUAGAGGUGAAAUUCGUAGAUAUUCGGAAGAACACCAGUGGCGAAGGCGACUCGCUGGACAAGUAUUGACGCUGAGGUGCGAAAGCGUGGGGAGCAAACAGG
rnacentral:misc_RNA from 1 species